ACUCCAAAUAGUUCCCACUCCUCAUUCAUUUUCCAUCUGCUUUGUAAGACACUAAGGACGCGCCACUCACCAUCUCCGUCAAGGGUCCGCCGUUGUUCGCCUGCAGCGGUUCGUCGCACUGCCACCAUUGGGUCAACAGUCGUUGUUAAUCGCCAUCGUUGAAGAUGUCGCGCAGCUUGUACGAGACGACGCUCGCCAUGGGUCGUCGGAGUCACUCGCACCUCCGCUUCCAGUCGUCGACCGACGCGUGCUGCUACCGAUUCAUUAUGGAUAAGUCUCUCUCUCUCUCUCUUAGUCUGAGUUUUUCCACACUACGUUACCCAUGAAUGGGGUUUCUCCACUGCCGCUUUCAAGUUAUGCUUUCUUCCAAACAUUCCUCAUUCUAUUUGAUGCUUCCUCCAUCCACUACUCCCUUUCCGCCCUGAUUUCUCUCUUCCUGUUCUUCCUCCUUAUGUCACUUCGGAUUUAUCAUGGCUUUCUUUACCACGUUUUAAAUACUCUAUUGUUGACUCUAUUAAGGUACGUUUCUUAUUUUUUGUUUCUUUUAAGAUGUUAAUUUUGAAUUCUUAUGUUUGCAAUUUCGAGCUAAAAUUUCUAAUUGAUCUCCACGGGUUCAUAUGCAAUUUGGGUACGCCGGAUAGAUGACCCAAAAAUUAGACAAGAAAAAAAAAUUGUGAAAUUACUCGAUUUUUGAAAGAAAAAUGUCGAAUGAUCAUUUGUUGAUGUCAAAUUCGGGUGAAAUUACCAAAAUAUACUUGGUCGCACCCAGAAAAGUAGUCUCGCCCGUCUCGUUCUCUCUCGUCUCACUCUCUAUUCUUUUUCACUCACAAAUCACUAGCUCGUCUCGCUCUCUCCUCUUUUUUUCACUCACAAAUCAUUAGCUCGUCUCGCCCUAGCUCAUCUCGCUCUCUCUUCAUUUUCUCACUCGUAAAAUCACUCCUCUCUCUUGUCUCUUGCACAUGAGAGUUGGUCGCAUCGGAACUGCUUGCGUGGACUUAUCGUGCCAGAGAAGAAGAAGAUGUACUGAGGAAAAGAAACCGAAGAAGAAGACUUGCAGAGGAAGAUUUCUCGCAUCGGAGAAAAAAUAAAAAAAGAAGGACAAUAACGUAACUUCACAUGGUCAUGACAUCAGCAAAGGGGCAUUUGACAUUUUUUUUUCAAAAACUAGGUCAUUUGUCGUUUUGAACCUUUAAAAUGGGUCUUUUGAGUAAUUAAUCAUAUGCAAUUUUCAGCAUUGUAAUGGACAGUCCAGAAGGAGCUGAUGCCAAUCAAUAUGCUCAAAUGAAAUUCAAAUUGAACUA